AUUGAACGCUGGCGGCAGGCUUAGCACAUGCAAGUCGAGCGGGGUGAUGGUGCUUGCACUAUCACCUAGCGGCGGACGGGUGAGUAAUACUUAGGAAUCUGCCUAUUAGUGGGGGACAACAUUUCGAAAGGAAUGCUAAUACCGCAUACGUCCUACGGGAGAAAGCAGGGGAUCUUCGGACCUUGCGCUAAUAGAUGAGCCUAAGUCGGAUUAGCUAGUUGGUGGGGUAAAGGCCUACCAAGGCGACGAUCUGUAGCGGGUCUGAGAGGAUGAUCCGCCACACUGGGACUGAGACACGGCCCAGACUCCUACGGGAGGCAGCAGUGGGGAAUAUUGGACAAUGGGCGCAAGCCUGAUCCAGCCAUGCCGCGUGUGUGAAGAAGGCCUUAUGGUUGUAAAGCACUUUAAGCGAGGAGGAGGCUACUUUAGAUAAUACCUAGAGAUAGUGGGCGUUACUCGCAGAAUAAGCACCGGCUAACUCUGUGCCAGCAGCCGCAGUAACAC
rnacentral:rRNA from 1 species